rnacentral:misc_RNA from 1 species
GAUGAAGAACGUAGCGAAAUGCGAUAAGUAAUGCGAAUUGCAGAAUUCAGUGAGUCAUCGAAUCUUUGAACGCACAUUGCGCCCUGUGGUAUUCCGCAGGGCAUGCCUGUUCGAGCGUCAUUUCAACCCUCAAGCUCUGCUUGGUGUUGGGCCACGCCCUCGCGGCCGGCCCCAAAGCCAGUGGCGGCGCCGUCCGGCUCUAAGCGUAGUACAUCUCUCGCUCUAGGGCCCGGCGGCUGCCUGACAGAACCCCAAACUCUUAUGGUUGACCUCGGAUCAGGUAGGGAUACCCGCUGAACUUAAGCAUAUCAAUAAGCGGAGGA